AUCAAUGCUUUGAAAUUAAUGAAGAUUUCCUUUAUGAUUUAAUGUUUGAUCAAUCUUUAAUAUAUUCUAUAUUAACUUUAAAAAUGUAUAUUCUUUGUUGGAUGCAUUUACUUUGCAUUAGCUCAAAUUUGUUAAUUUUUUGGUUUAAAUCUGCUAAAUGCUUAUUAAAUUUUAUUGAUUUAUCAGUUUUUGAUAAAAAUGUGUUAAGACCUCUCACUCUAAUUGUGACUUUGUCUAUUUUUUCCUUAUAAUUCCAUUUUGGGUUAUAUAUUUUGAGUCUAUAGUGAAGGGCAUACAAAUUCAUGAUUGUUAUAUCUUUUUGGUCAGUUUUUCCAUCAACUGUUAAAUAUACCUGUGUAUCCUGUUGCUUUUUGCCUUAAAUCCUUUUGUAUCUGAUACUGAUAUUGCUACACCGUGUUUUCUUUGGUUAGUAUUAGCAAGUUAAGCUUCAUAACAUCCCUUUAUUUUCACACUUUCUGUGGUGUAAUUUUGUAAUUUUGUCUGGGUGGCUCCUGUAAUCUAAAUAGAGCUGAAUUUUGGAAAAGCAAGUCUAAUAAUCCACAGCUUUUAAUAGGCUUCUUUAGUCCAUUUACAUUCUUUAUCUCAUUAUUGACAUAUGUGGACUUAUUUGUAACCUUAUUUUCUUUUGAAGUUUUAAAAUUUAAGUUUUUUUUUUUCAGUCAGAUGGCAGCAUUUCAUACAUACUGCUCUGCAUCUUGCUUUUUUUUUUAUUGUGGUAAAACAUGCAUAACAUAAAAUUUCCCAAUUCAACCAUUUUUAGCAGCAUUAAUUGCAUUCACAGUGUUGUGUAACCAUCACCAUUAUCCAUUUCCAGAACUUUUUCAUCAUCCCAAAUAGAAACUCUGUACCCAUUAAGUAAACUCCCCAUUGCUCCCUCUCCCGGACCCCUGGUAACCUCUAUUCUACUUUUUGCCUCUGAAGUUGCCUAUUCUAGGCACCUCAUACACGUGGCAUCAUAGAAUAUUUUCCCUUUUGUGUCUGGCGUCUUUCACUCAGUGUAAUGUUUUCAAGGUUCAUCCAGGCCACAACGUGUGUCAGUGCUUCACUCGCUUUUCAGGCUGAAUGAGAGUCCAAUGGUGUACAGGCGUCUAUUUGCGUCCCUGCGUUCAGUUCUUCUGGGUAUAUGUCUAGAUGUGGAACUGCUGGAUUACCUGGUAAUUCUAGGCUCAGCUUUGUCAGGAGACGCCAUACUGUUUUCCACAGUGGCUGCACCAUUUAUAUUCCCACCGGGAAUGCACGAUACCACUUGAUUUCAUAUUUUCGGAUUACUGCUCUUUCUUUGCUUCUUUUUGCCUGAUACGUGUUUUAGGAAAUUAGCACUGAUGGCAAAGUGGAGGAAGUUGAAAGUGAGAUUGGUUAGGAGGCCAUCACAGCAGUGUAGACAAGAGAUGAGGACGCCCUGAGCUAAGGCAGGGUGGUAGCAAGGAAAAAAACACAGAUCUAAGAGAGAUUUCAAACAUAGGCAUUGGAACAUUUUUUCGCUUAUUUAUUCUUUCAUUCCAGAAGUAUUUUGAAUGCCUGUGAUUUCAGGAAUGGGGAAGACAGAGAUGAACAAGAUAGUUAUGGUCCCUGCCCUCUUGGUACUCACAGUGUAAUGGAGGGGAUGGAUAUUAAUAAAAUAGCCACGUACAUAAAGGUCAGAGUGGAAAUGUGGAAAAUGUGGCAAAAGAGCAGUAAGAAGCGGGAAGAGUUUUGACCAAGUGUGACAGCCAGGGAAGGCUUCCCUGAGGAGGGCAUUUGGAUGAGGAGGAGUUAAUUGGGGGGGAUGGAUUGAAAGUGGGUGGCUAAUAGUGUUAUAGGCAGAGGAAACAGCAGAUGCAAAGGCCCUGUGGCAAGAGGGGGAGGGUACAGGAUUCUAAGAACAGAACGGAGGUCAGUAACAAUACUGGUGCAGUAUUGUUUCCAAUUCCAAAAUGUACAAAGCAAUCCAAGUGUUCAUAUAAGAGGAAUUCUUAAAUUAUGAUUCUGCUAUAGAAUGGGCUACUAUGCAGUCGUUAAAAUGGUGUAUAAAUCUGUUUACAUGAUAUUGAUAAAUAAUAAAAGCACGCUGGAACAGUGUAUAGAAUAUGAUCUUGUUUUUGUUUGUAUAUAAAUGUAGUCAAACAACGUGUAUUUAUUUCAAUAUGUAUGGUUUUACAGAAAAAGUCUGAAAUAUAUUCAUCAAAUGAUCCUCUCUAGGGAGUGGGAUUCUGCGUGAUUGUAAUUUUUUUCUUUUUGCUUAUUUAUAUCUAAAAAAUUUCUACAACAAAUGUGACUUACUUGUAUCAAAAAUAAAUUAAAGUAAGACAGUUCUGUGCCAGAAUCAGUAGACUUGGUACCCUUGGAUGUGGGGAAUGAGAGCAAGGUGACUGUCAGCAGUGACUCGGGUCGUGUUGUGGGUGGACGAUGCCUCCGCUAGUGCGGGGAGGGGACACAGCUUGAGCAGAGUGAGACGAAGGAGAAGAUCGCCAGUUAAGGCUCGGACAUUCUGAGCUGGAGAUAGAAAUGUCUGAUAGGACGUUGGGAAUGUGGUUCUGGAGCGUAACGGUGUCACAAGCGGCCGAGAGCUAAAGCACAGUGAAGGGGCCCUUAUGUUUUCUGAGCAGGAGGUUGUUGAUUGCCCUCGAGAGCCAGUAGGGUGGAGAAGAAGAUCCGAAUGCAGUAGGCUAACGAAGGAGUGGGAGAUGAGGAAGGAGAGGAAGGACUAGCAGCAGACAGGGGUGCCCUUUCCUGAUGUUCGGGCGAGAAGAAAAUCAGGAUUUUAGGACAGGACACAGAGCAGGUUUGGUGAGACAGAUUUAAAGAUCUUCAACAGAAAGUUUAAAAAAGCAGAGGGGCAAGAGUUAAUAAGUAAAACCACCCAGCAAAGUGUGUAUAGCAAGAAAAGAAACAUCCCUAGCCUGGACCUUGGUACUGUGACUGCUUUGCCAGCGGGGACUUUUGCAACAACUGCAACUGUAAUAAUUGUUGCAACAAUUUACGUCAUGAAAUUGAGCGGUUUAAGGCCAUUAAGUGCCCUCCCUGGCCGCCAUGAGACAGUGAGUCAGCCCCUCUCCAGAGGCCCAGCUCUGCCAGACAACGGCCCACGUGACGUGCAGACAUGUCUGCACUGUAAUGUCUGGCAUUGGAGUAGACCAGAAAUCCUGAAAAACCUUCUGCUUGAAACACCCAGAGCUGCAGAAUAAAACACAGCAGAUCCCCUUUGAGAUGCGUCUCUGAGCUGAAAAGAACAGAGGGAAAUCCCCAGGGGCUGAAACGACAAGCCGAAAACCAGAGUGGCUGGCUGGGCCAGCUUUCAGACUGCCCCAGGACCAGCACGAGCAAGGGGUUGGACCCAGGCUUGCCGGGCACACCUGGGACCCCCGCACCCCUGGCGCCUGAGCAUCACGCUGCCGUGUGACAAAAACAAAGUCCACCCACAAGGAAGCAGGAAGGGCUCCCUUAGCACGCCCGGCACAGGCCUGCGCCCGGUGGGUUUCCGGUUCUGCCCACCUGCACCUUCCCUGCACCAGCAGCGCCCGCGUAUCGCCCCGGCUGCUGCAAGAGAGGCGCUGGACUUGCUUACAGAGCUGGACCUCACAGCCCAGCCGCUAGAGCAGCUUCCCUCCGACGGGUCCCCGGAGGCGCUUCGCUGGGUUCCCAGCGGACAAGGGACAGCGCGCCCUCCCUUUGCCUGGGACUCCCAGCCACGCUCGCCCACCAGCCUUCCGCAGCCCACUCCCCACCUUCCUUGUCAGCAGCACACUGUGUCCCCACAGCAGUGACACGUGCGGAAAUGCACAUCGCUCUCUUCACAUCACGGUCAUUUCCUCCUCUGCGUUUCUGCCCUUUUUGGGGGGUAUGAAAAUUGCAGAUCACAUAUACACACGAAUAUAAACAAAGAGCUCUUUAAGGCCCGAAUAGAAUUUGUUGGUUUUUGGUGAAUUGUAGGGCAAUGUAAUUUUAUUGAGGCAUUUUAUAUUACCAGGCCAAAAUUAUGUGCUCUUCUAUUUGCAAAUGCAUUGGUUGCAAAAAUUAUGAAGAAAGCCCAGAACGAAAGACACUAAUGAACAUGCCCAACUACGUGGAAAUUGGAGGCGUUGAAGGCAGCCAUCAUUGGUCACCAAGUAAAUUUUCAGGACUACCAAAAUUCAGAAAAGAUAGGUAGGUACUCUGCACUAACCCUCAUAGUGGGGCAAAUUGAGGUUAAUUUGAGAGGAGAGUUAAAACCCUGUAUACGCCAGAAGGGAAGCCUGUGUGUCCGCAGCGGGGGCACGAGGGAUGGGGAGGGGGACGCCCGCCUCCUCUUCUGGACCAGCCCUACCUCACACCUGUUUCCUCAGAGGCCCCCCUGCCGAGCACGCUUUGUCCUAUUUGUCCUCUUAGCUCAGCCCUUUGGGCCUCACGGGCUGAGUUACCCCUGUUUUGUACAAGAGCAGAAGGCCCUGCAGGGAUCACCCACAGGCCGCUGACCUCAGACAAUGUGGUCUCCAGACGGCAAAUGCCUGUGAAGUGACAGCAAAGAGAUGGGCUCACACACUCUACUCCUUCCUAAAGAGAGAACGGAUUCACAUUAGUUGGAUGUUUUCCCAUUUCAUUAUUUUGAGGCCAAAUUAUAAUCCUAGUAGGUCUCAAAAGUUGAGUAACGAUUAUACUAUUAUUGGACUAGAUUCAUUCAUAUUUAAAAAUGUCUUUGAGUUCCUCAUGACGGGUCAUGUCAUGAUAAAGUACCAGAUGUCAUUAGUUAAUUAAUAUCAUUUUGAAAAUCCAAGUUUAUGCUUGUUUGCUUAGAGAGACAUGAGAAACACUCAUCAUUGGGACCUGCAGAGGUCUUUAUCAGUAAAAAUUUACCAAACGUGGCUGCACCUUCUGGGAAGUUAUGUGUGAAAAUGUUAUCUGUCCCCUUACGUUGGGACGUUGUGUGUCCGAUGGAAUGGGAGCGGGGCUCCGUACACUGGAGGCUGACCUCAAAAUGUUACGACUCUUCGUGACCUGAGGGCAGCCAUGUUCUUUCAUCUUCAACAAGUCAUUGCAUAUUGUCUUUAUAGAGAGAUUUUAACCAAUCCCAACGUCCAUCUCUAUUUUCGUAAUUCAGUGCUUUUUAAUACUUUAUAAAGUUUUCCCACUUUAUAAAGCCAGGCAACUGUCUGGCUAAGUCACCAUUGCCCCUGAGCUCAGAGGGGAAAGUGGCUAGUCCUGUGUGUUGGAGAACAACUGUCUUUGAGGCCCUUGCUCAGGGCUCCAAGGGGCAUUAGGAGGCAAGGCCAUCCUGACCGUGCGCCCCCAAGAAUUGACGGCGAGGUGAGGCCUCAGGGCCAUUUGGCUUUCUGCAGCUCCAGUGCCCUGUGGGGAGGAGGGGCCGACCGACCCCACAGGGCUUCCCUUAGUGGGGACGCCCGCACAGAGCUCCAUCCCAGGCUGUGCCGCGGUCUGCAGGCACUUGUCUUAUCUGAGCUUCCUGGUCCCUCCACCCCUGCCCGGCCCACGGGUUCCUCUGGGUUGCCUGGUGGAUCUAAUUAUGAGAAAAUUUAAGAAUCUACCCUGAGAGGGAUGUCAAGAAGCGGACAGCUUUACCUGUCCUCUAUAUUGUAUUCUAAAAGCAAUCCUUGACAUGGCCCCAGUUAAUCGUUUCCACUGUUAGGAAGACAACGCACCUGGUGACAUGUUCAGGCAGUAUCAUGACCGCAUGCUCCUUGCAGAGAAAACAGCGGGGCGGUGGGCCGGGCCUUUGACUGGUCUGUUUCCGACAGGCGGGCUCCCUCGUGCAUCUCCUGGGAGGUGGUGGAGGCCACGUGCGCCUGUCUGCUGGCUCAAGGGGAAGAGGCGGAGAAGGGGCAGUGUUCUGAGUGCCUGGCCGAGCAGAUGGUCCUGGAGGAGUUCGGGAGGUGCUUGGCACAGAUCCUCCACACUGAGUUUAAAUCCAAGGGGUUGAAAAUGGAGUAGAGCCCGAGGGAGUCACCGCAAGUGCGUGUAGAGCUUGUCUCAGCGUUCAGAAGGAAAUCUAUAGUUUAGAAAGGUUAUUUUAAGGAACACGAGGCCCGGUCUGCAUCAGCAGUGACAUCCUUAGGAGCAAGCUUUCCCUCUGCCUCAGGGGACUCGGGGGGUGACUCAGGGUCUCUGAGGGGUUUGGCGAUCAAAACGCCCCUUUCUGAGGGAGUGCGUGGCGUAGCCAGGUCGUCUGGACCAGAGCAGACUGCGGGUUCCUGUGACCCCGGAGAAUUGUCUGAGCUCACACCGAGGAAUGGAGGGCGAAGCAGGCCUGGAGAGAACAAAAGCCCAUCCCUACUGACUUCACCCUCUCCCGGGGAUUUUCCUCUAGAGGAUUCUCUGCAUAAAAAACCAUGAUCUUCCCCCAAAUUACUUAGAAAUGAAUUCUCCAGAUGGGCUGCUAGGAUACAGCUUAAAAUCUCCAGAGAGCUGCUGAAUACCCUGAAGAGUUUCUGAGUGUAGAUGCUUCCCCAGAAUCACAUGAGUUAUCAGGCUCUACCAGGGCCCCCGGGACGCCAGAGGAGGCCACACAGGCCAUUCUUCCAUCAGUAGCGUCUUGAGUUGUGGGACUGAAAAUUAUCUGGUUUUUAUGUAGUUCUAUUUGAAUUGUGGAAAAGCUCUAUUAUCCAAUUAAUUUCUCCAUAAUUAUUGUUAUAAUAUUGUUUGUAAAAUAUGGUUAAAAUAACUAGUUUGCAGAAACUAGCAGGUAAGAUUAGUUAAGUUGACUCUGUUUUGGUUCUGUUGUGAAAGCAAAGAAGAAUAAAAAUUUUAAACAUCUUCCACUGUUGUAAGGAACUUAGUAACUGUGGUUAAGUUAUUCAUGUUUCUGUGUUCGCUGAUCACGUUGGCCCCUUAGAAUGUUUGGGGAGCUCACUGACCAGCACCCUGUGAGGAAGUGUGGCUGGGGGCCCAGCCCCGGCACGGCAGAGGACAGAGCUGGUGUUUGGCAGAGCUGUAUUCGGAACGGCUAAUUCUAGUGGGAACCAAAGAGGGGAAAGGAAAUACCUAAUUCUUCUCCGUUGCAAUGCCCUUGUGACCUUGGGAUCCCGAUUCUGGGGUGGAAGGCCAGAGGUAGAGACAGGGUGUAAGACAGUGGAGUUCUCCAGCAGCUGUGCCCCGCCCUUGCCCUGCGUGUGUGCCAGCCCAGCAACCCCUAGGACAGAGCAGGGAGGGGCGCUGCUGGAGGAGCCCACUUCACCUGUGGGGGCUGGAAGGGCACAAGGAGAUGGGGGCCUUGUGACUCCCUUCUGGGGCCGCCUUCCUUCUGUGUUUCUCCCAGCAGCGCUGCCAACAGCUAUAUCUGCCGGCCGCAUGGGUAACUCAAAACUUUCUAGUAGCCACAUUUAACGUGGUGAAAAGGAACAGGCGAAAUCAGUUUUAAUAAUCUUUUAUUUAACCCCAUAUAUCUGAAACGCCAUCAUUUCAACAAGUAAUAAAAGUGACAAUGAUUGAGAUAGUUCACCUUCUUUGUAUUUCCAAGUCUUUGACAUCCAGUGUGGAUCUGGCACUCACAGCGCAUCUCAGUUGGCACCAGGCCUGCUCUAAGUGCCGAGGAGCCGCAGGGCAGGGCGGAGGGAGGGAAGGGAACAGUGUCCUCCAGCCCUCUUCUGAGGCCUGGGAAGGCCAGGCAGCCAGGUGGAGCCCCCUGCAGAGUCGGAGGCGGUUGUGGCCCGGAGGACCCCAGGGGACACGAGCAGACGCCCUCAGCGGGCCCCUCCCGGAACCCCGGCUCCUCCGGGGUGUGGGGCCAGGUAUCCCGAGCUGAAGCCUGGAAGUCAGGGACAGGGCAUCCUGGGGCCGGAGCCCGCAGGGGUCCUCUCCCGGGAGAGCUUAGUGAGGCGCGGCAGCUGGGGGGAAAUUCACCCUGGGAAGCACACGCCGAGGCACAGCCGUGUACACAGCCCUGUGGGGCCCGGAGGCGGCUGUUCCGUAGGAGACGGAAGAGACAGAAGGCACGACUCUUUGUUCCUGGUAGAGAGCCACUGCCACUGUAAAGCCGCAUAAAAACAACGAUGAAAAUAGUGCGUCCUCAUCAGGGCGUGGCUCUGCCGCUUUAACCGCCUGCGUCCCUCUGCCCUGUCUCUUGGGCGCUCUUGUGACUAAGGUUAGACUAUCUAUUGAGGUUUUUUGUCUGUUUGUGUUUUUCCAGAAAUGCAGCCUAGCUUAAAACUUGUAUGUUCAAGAAUCUGAGAAAAAAGUCUUUUAAAAAAUGGCACAGAAAACUGUUUCUCUACUCACAGCUCUUCCGACACCAAAUGUGUGGCGUUUCUUCCCCUCAUCAGCCCCUUCUCCCACUCUCCAGACCCCAGCUGGGUGGCCUGCACUUCUGCUCUGACACUGCCGGCGGUUAGUGUCAGGUCACACAGGUGUGAGCGCUCAGCCCCACAAGACUGCCCCCAACUCAGACACCAAGCGCAGGCAAUGGGUCCCAGGUCACCCCUACUUCUCUCUGGCUUGGCUACAAAUCAGAAGUUCCCUCGACCCGUCCUCGGGUUAGAUGGCCUCCUUUAACAGCUCCCGGAACUCGGGGAAGCCCUGUCCUGCCAUGACUGCUUUAUCAUCCAGGGUGCAGUUGAACAGGCAGAUGCAGAGGUAAAGGGCGAGGUCCAGCAGGGCCCUGAGCGCAGGAGCUUCUGUCCCCGUGGGGUUGGGGUGCACCACCUUCCCAGCACGUAGAUGUGUUCACCCACCCGGGAGCUCUCCAAACGCCCUAGUUUCGGAAUUUUUACGCAGGCCUCAUCAUGAGGUGUGACCAAUUAUUAACUCAGUCUCCGGCCCUCUCCCCUCCCUUGAGGAUGGGGCCGGGCUGAAGGUUCCUAGCUUCUAAUCAUGGUUUGGUCUUUCUGCUGACCAGCCCCCAUUCUGAACUACCCAGGAGCCCACCCAGAGUCACCUCACUGGAACGAAGGACGCUCCUAUCACCCAGGAAAUUCCAAGGGAUUUAGGGGCUCAGUGUAAGAUGCUCCCAUCCCCCCAUCACUCAGGAAAUUACAGGCUUUCAGGAGCUCGGUGUCAGGAACCGGGGACAGAGACCAAGUAUGUAUUGCUUAUGCCACACGCUGAACAUUUUCUUUCAUGUGAGUUAGCCGCAAGUUUGUACGCAAUACAGAAAACAUGGGAACGGAUGAACCACCCUUAAGAGAGGAGCUUCUAUUGACUGCAAAAUAUCUGCAGAAACCUACUCAUCAUCCUCGUCUUGGCUCUGAGGUUCUUUAUCCCUCUACAAACCCUGCAUGAAUACCUGAAAUUCUGCCAGGGUUGGUCUAAUUUCACUGGGGGUACAGCUUAAAACCAGAACAGAAAUUAUUGUAUGAAGUUAAAAUACUGGUUUAGAGAAUUAAAGGUGGAAGUUUGAUCCAAUAUAAAAAUGAUGGGAGAAGUUAGAGAAUUGAAGAGACCAGCAGUUUGGAGAAAAGAUAAGGACAACUGGAGGGGAAGGGGCAGCCCAUUCUGCGGGUGGAGCUCUUUACAAAGGCCACUGGGCGCAGGGGGCAGGGGUGAGCGCUGGGUGCUGUCAGCGUUCUGGAUUUUGACCAUUCUGAUGGAUAUGUGUAGCGGUAUCUCACUGUGGUUUUAAUUUGCAAUUGCCUAAUAACAUGUGAUGUGGAGCAUCUUUUCAUGUGCUUACUUGCCAUCUGUGUGUUUUCUUUAAGGAGGUACCGUCCAGGUCUUUUGCCCAUUUUUCAAUUGGUUGUCCAUUUUCUUAUUGUUGAGUUUUAAGAGUUCUUUGUAUAUUUUGGAUAACAGUCCUUUAUCAGAUGUGUCUUUUCUUUUUUUUAAAGAUUGGCACCUGAGCUAACAACUGUUGCCAAUCUUCUUUUUUUUUUUUCUUUCUGCUUUUUGUCCCCAAAUCCCCCCAGUACAUAGCUAUAUGUUCUAGCUGUGGGUCCUUCUAGUUGUGGCAUGUGGGACGCCACCUCAACGUGGCCUGACGAGCGGUGCCAUGUCCGCACCCAGCAUCCAAACCGGUGAAACCCUGGGCCACCAUAGCAGGAUAUUCGAACUUAACCACUCGACCACGAGGCCAGCCCCUGAAUCAGAUGUGUCUUUUGCAAGUGUUUUCUCCCAUUCUGUGGCUUGUCUUCUCAUUCUCUCGACAGGGCUUUUGCAGAGCAGAAGUUGUUAAUUUUAAUGAAGUACAACUCAUCAAUUGUUUGUUUUGUGGAUCAUGACUUUGGUGUUGUAUCUAAAAAGUCACUGCCAUACCCAAGGUCAUCUAGAUUUUCUCCUAUGUUAUCUUCUAGGAGUUUUAUAGUUUUGCAUUUUAUAUUUAUGUCUGUGAUCCACUUCGAGUUAAUUUUUGUGAAGAGUAUAAGGUCUGUCUUUAGAUUCAUCUUUUUGCAUGCGGAUGUCUAGUUGUUCCAGCACCAUUUGUUGAAAAGACUAUUUUUGCUCCCUUGUAUUGUCUUUGCUCCUUUGUCAAAGAUCAGUGGACUAUAGUUAUGGGGGUCUAUUUCUGGGCGCUCUGUUCUAGUCCAUUGAUCUAUUUGUCUGUUCUUUUGCUGAUAGCACGCUGUCUUGUUUACUGUGGCCUUAUAGUAAGUCCUGAAGUCAGGUAGCAUCACUCCUCCAUCUUUGUUCCUCUCCUUCACUGUUGUGUUGGCUGUUCUGGGUCUUUUGCCUCUCCAUAGAAACUUUAGAAUCAGUUUGUCUAUAUUCACAAAAUAACUUGCUGGGAUUUUGAUUGGGAUUGCAUUGAUUCUAUAGCUCAAGUUGGGAAGAACUGACAUCUUGAAAUAUUGUCUUCCUAUCCAUGAACAUGGAAUAUCUCUCCAAUUAUUUAGUUCUUUGAUUUCAUUCAUCAGAAUUUGUCAU
rnacentral:lncRNA from 1 species